GAUCAUGGCUCAGGAUGAACGCUAGCUACAGGCUUAACACAUGCAAGUCGAGGGUCAGCAUGGACCCAGCUUUGCUGGGUUUGAUGGCGACCGGCGCACGGGUGAGUAACGCGUAUCCAACCUGCCCGUUUACUCCGGGAUAGUCUCCUGAAAGGGAGUUUAAUACCGGAUGUGUUUGUCUUUCCGCAUGGGAGCGACAAAUAAAGAUUGAUUGGUAAAGGAUGGGGAUGCGUCCCAUUAG
rnacentral:rRNA from 1 species